UGGGGAAUUUUGGACAAUGGGGGAAACCCUGAUCCAGCCAUCCCGCGUGUGCGAUGAAGGCCUUCGGGUUGUAAAGCACUUUUGGCAGGAAAGAAACGUCGCGGGUUAAUACCCCGCGGAACUGACGGUACCUGCAGAAUAAGCACCGGCUAACUACGUGCCAGCAGCCGCGGUAAUACGUAGGGUGCAAGCGUUAAAUCGGAAUUACUGGGCGUAAAGCGUGCGCAGGCGGUUCGGAAAGAAAGAUGUGAAAUCCCAGAGCUUAACUUUGGAACUGCAUUUUUAACUAACCCGGGCUAGAGUGUGUCAGAGGGAGGUGGAAUUCCGCGUGUAGCAGUGAAAUGCGUAGAUAUGCGGAGGAACACCGAUGGCGAAGGCAGCCUCCUGGGAUAACACUGACGCUCAUGCACGAAAAGCGUGGGGAGCAAACAGGAUUAGAUACCCUGGGUAGUCCACGCCCUAAAGCGAUGUCAAACUAGCUGUUGGGGUCUUCGGACCUUGGUAAGCGCAGCUAACGCGUGAAGUUGA
rnacentral:rRNA from 1 species